UAGUAACGGCGAGUGAAGCGGCAACAGCUCAAAUUUGAAAUCUGGCCCUCGGGUCCGAGUUGUAAUUUGUAGAGGAUGCUUUUGGUGCGGUGCCUUCCGAGUUCCCUGGAACGGGACGCCAUAGAGGGUGAGAGCCCCGUCUGGUUGGACACCAAGCCUCUGUAAAGCUCCUUCGACGAGUCGAGUAGUUUGGGAAUGCUGCUCUAAAUGGGAGGUAUAUGUCUUCUAAAGCUAAAUACCGGCCAGAGACCGAUAGCGCACAAGUAGAGUGAUCGAAAGAUGAAAAGCACUUUGAAAAGAGGGUUAAAUAGUACGUGAAAUUGUUGAAAGGGAAGCGCUUAUGACCAGACUUGAGCCCGGUUAAUCAUCCAGCCUUCUGGCUGGUGCACUUGGCCGGCUCAGGCCAGCAUCAGUUCGGCGCGGGGGAUAAAGGCUUCGGGAAUGUGGCUCCUCCGGGAGUGUUAUAGCCCGUUGUGUAAUACCCUGCGCUGGACUGAGGUUCGCGCAUCUGCAAGGAUGCUGGCGUAAUGGUCAUCAGCGACCCGUCUUGAAACACGGACCAAGGAGUCGUCUUCGUAUGCGAGUGUUCGGGUGUCAAACCCCUACGCGUAAUGAAAGUGAACGCAGGUGAGAGCUUCGGCGCAUCAUCGACCGAUCCUGAUGUUCUCGGAUGGAUUUGAGUAAGAGCAUACGGGGCCGGACCCGAAAGAAGGUGAACUAUGCCUGUAUAGGGUGAAGCCAGAGGAAACUCUGGUGGAGGCUCGCAGCGGUUCUGACGUGCAAAUCGAUCGUCAAAUAUGGGCAU
rnacentral:rRNA from 1 species